rnacentral:rRNA from 1 species
AUUGAACGCUGGCGGCAUGCCUUACACAUGCAAGUCGAACGGUAACAGGUCUUCGGAUGCUGACGAGUGGCGAACGGGUGAGUAAUACAUCGGAACGUGCCUAGUAGUGGGGGAUAACUACUCGAAAGAGUGGCUAAUACCGCAUGAGAUCUACGGAUGAAAGCAGGGGAUCGCAAGACCUUGUGCUACUAGAGCGGCCGAUGGCAGCUUAGGUAGUUGGUGGGAUAAAAGCUUACCAAGCCGACGAUCUGUAGCUGGUCUGAGAGGACGAUCAGCCACACUGGGACCGAGAGACGGCCCAGACUCCUACGGGAGGCAGCAGUGGGGAAUUUUGGACAAUGGGCGCAAGCCUGAUCCAGCAAUGCCGCGUGCAGGAUGAAGUCGUUCGGGUUGUAAACUGCUUUUGUACGGAACGAAAAGCACUGGGUUAAUACCCUGGGGUCAUGACGGUACCGUAAGAAUAAGCACCGGCUAACUACGUGCCAGCCGCCGCCGUAA